AACCCAUGAUGAGGAAACCUACGAAGUAACUCCUUGAAUCGCUCCCAAGACUUAUACAAAGACUCGUCAUCCAAUUGAUGGAAAGUUGUGAUCUCAUUCCUCAACUU
rfam:Gossypium arboreum cultivar AKA8401 contig_23570_9, whole genome shotgun sequence.